CGGCCAGUUCUAAUGCAAUUAUGGAAAUAACAGCACUCCACAUUACUGUGAUUCUCAUUAUGGAUAAACUGUUCACACUUUGCAGUCACAAGACUCGCAAUCCGAGUUUAAUUUUCAAGUUUAAUGAACAUUAUUUACCAACUCCUGAACUCAUGCUGACGAGCACUUUUCAGAUGGCAGGUUGUUGUUAGUUCCUGGCCCCCGUGCUCUCCAAAGUCUGCAUUUCAAGGUGCCUCCUGGUCCUGCUGCUGAAGGGUCAGAAGUCAUUAUCACUUUCCUCCAGAGGCUCUGGCUUCUUUGCUCGGUGGCUGGAUUUGCUCGGGGAGAUUUCCAUGCUGUCAUCUUCCACAUCCUCCUCCUCAUCUUCGUCAUCAUCCAGGUCAAUCUCACUGUCCCCUGACUCCUCAUCUUCCUCUGUGUCUCCACCCUGCAUUGCUCCCACGAUCCGGGCACCAGCUCUUCCUGGCACUAACGUAUCCAAGGCUGCGCGCUGCUUCCUGAACUGCCUGUCUUCCACUUCACUGUCAGAGCCUUCGUCCUCCUGAAUCUCCAUGUCAGAAUCAUCAUUACUUCCACUCUUAAGCAGGCGUUGUUC
rnacentral:lncRNA from 1 species